CCUGCGGAGGGAUCAUUACCGAGUUUACAACUCCCAAACCCCUGUGAACAUACCACUUGUUGCCUCGGCGGAUCAGCCCGCUCCCGGUAAAACGGGACGGCCCGCCAGAGGACCCCUAAACUCUGUUUCUAUAUGUAACUUCUGAGUAAAACCAUAAAUAAAUCAAAACUUUCAACAACGGAUCUCUUGGUUCUGGCAUCGAUGAAGAACGCAGCAAAAUGCGAUAAGUAAUGUGAAUUGCAGAAUUCAGUGAAUCAUCGAAUCUUUGAACGCACAUUGCGCCCGCCAGUAUUCUGGCGGGCAUGCCUGUUCGAGCGUCAUUUCAACCCUCAAGCACAGCUUGGUGUUGGGACUCGCGUUAAUUCGCGUUCCUCAAAUUGAUUGGCGGUCACGUCGAGCUUCCAUAGCGUAGUAGUAAAACCCUCGUUACUGGUAAUCGUCGCGGCCACGCCGUUAAACCCCAACUUCUGAAUGUUGACCUCGGAUCAUGUAGGAAUACCCGCUGAACUUAAGCAUAUCAAAGGCGGGAGGAAA
rnacentral:rRNA from 1 species